rnacentral:rRNA from 1 species
GAUGAACGCUGGCGGCGUGCUUAACACAUGCAAGUCGAACGGGAUCGGCUGGAGCUUGCUCCGGCCGUGAGAGUGGCGAACGGGUGAGUAAUGCGUGACCGACCUGCCCCAUACACCGGAAUAGCUCCUGGAAACGGGUGGUAAUGCCGGAUGCUCCAGUUGACCGCAUGGUCCUCUGGGAAAGCUUUUGCGGUAUGGGAUGGGGUCGCGUCCUAUCAGGUAGUCGGCGGGGUAACGGCCCACCGAGCCUACGACGGGUAGCCGGCCUGAGAGGGCGACCGGCCACAUUGGGACUGAGAUACGGCCCAGACUCCUACGGGAGGCAGCAGUGGGGAAUAUUGCACAAUGGGCGCAAGCCUGAUGCAGCGACGCCGCGUGCGGGAUGACGGCCUUCGGGUUGUAAACCGCUUUUGACUGGGAGCAAGCCCUUCGGGGUGAGUG